GGGGAUUUAGCUCAGUGGUAGAGCGCUUGCCUAGCAAGCGCAAGGCCCUGGGUUCGGUCCCCAGCUCCCCA
rnacentral:tRNA from 1 species